CAUAGAGAGCUUGCUCUCUGAUGGCGAGUGGCGAACGGGUGAGUAAUAUAUCGGAACGUACCAGUUAAUGGGGAACAACCAGCCGAAAGGUUGGCUAAUGCCGCAUACGACCUACGGGUGAAAGCAGGGGAUCUUCGGACCUUGCGUUAUUAGAGCGGCCGGUAUCUGAUUAGGAGUUUGGUGGGGUAAAGGCCUACCAAGCCGACGAUCAGUAGCUGGUCUGAGAGGACGAUCAGCCACACUGGAACUGAGACACGGUCCAGACUCC
rnacentral:rRNA from 1 species